UUCAUCGUAUUGUAGCGAUCACGCUACUAAUUAAAUUAUUUUAAUUAAAAUUGGAUUAAAAUAUACCCCUCUAGGAAAUUCUUUGGAGAUGCCUAUGGAAUCACCCAGGUGCCUACUUUCGCAGCGAAGCAAGAGGAAAGCACCGCGCAUGAUUCUAUCGGAUCGACACGAAUCGAUUUCGGAAAACAUUGAACGGCAGUUGGUCAGGAAACGGCUCGAAGGGCAGACGCCGCGCCGCUAGUGAGGUGAUUCUCAUUUUUAGGUGACAGGAUUGAAACAAAUUUUAGAUAGAAAUCAAAUAAUUAUAAGGAAAUCAAACGUCAGCUAAUACCAUCUACAAAAAAA
rnacentral:lncRNA from 1 species